GCUAGAUUAAAAUCACUUGUUGAGAGAGUCGUUCAUUCUGAUCGGGUCGUUUUUUUUGCCAGGUAAUCUUCUGAUACAUGUACUAGAAGAAUAAUCAACAUUUUGGAUGGUGCACUCCGUCGGGAGAUUCCGCUGCUGACCCUCUCAUUGGAUGCCGAGAAGGCCUUUGACAGGGUCAGUUGGCGCUUCCUCGACGGGGUGCUGACCUCUUUUGGAUUUAUAGGUUGGAUUCAUGAUGCCAUUUUGGCACUUUACUCCGAACCAACAGCUAGAACUGUAGGAGUAAAUAUUCAAUCAAAUUGGUUUAGUCUAUAUAAUGGCACACGCCAGGGCUGUCCCCUAUCGCCC